AGCUCCAAUAGCGUAUAUUAAAGUUGCUGCAGUUAAAAAGCUCGUAGUUGGAUCUCGGGUGCAGGCUUGCGGUCCGCCUCGCGGCGGUCACUGCUCGUCCUCGCCUCCUACGGCCGGUAUACACACCGUCCCUUGGUGCUCUUGACCGAGUGUCUCGGGCGGCCGGCACGUUUACUUUGAAGAAAUUGGAGUGCUCAAAGCAGGCCGUCAGUAGCCUGAACAAUGGUGCAUGGAAUAAUGGAAUAGGACCUCGGUUCUAUUUUGUUGGCUCUCGGAGCUCGAGGUAAUGAUUAAUAGGGACGGACGGGGGCAUUCGUAUUGCGGCGACAGAGGUGAAAUUCUUGGACCGUCGCAAGACGAACUACAGCGAAAGCAUUUGCCAAGCAUGUUUUCAUUA
rnacentral:rRNA from 1 species